CCUACGGGAGGCAGCAGUGGGGAAUAUUGGACAAUGGGCGAAAGCCUGAUCCAGCAAUGCCGCGUGAGUGAUGAAGACCUUAGGGUUGUAAAGCUCUUUUACCAGGGAUGAUAAUGACAGUACCUGGAGAAUAAGCUCCGGCUAACUCCGUGCCAGCAGCCGCGGUAAUACGGAGGGAGCUAGCGUUGUUCGGAAUUACUGGGCGUAAAGCGUACGUAGGCGGUUAUUCAAGUCAGAGGUGAAAGCCUGGAGCUCAACUCCAGAACUGCCUUUGAAACUAGAUAGCUAGAAUCUUGGAGAGGUGAGUGGAAUUCCGAGUGUAGAGGUGAAAUUCGUAGAUAUUCGGAAGAACACCAGUGGCGAAGGCGACUCACUGGACAAGUAUUGACGCUGAGGUACGAAAGCGUGGGGAGCAAACAGGAUUAGAUACCCUGGUAGUCCACGCCGUAAAACGAUGAUAACUAGCUGUUCGGGCUCUACGAGUCUUGAGUGGCCGCAGCUACGACAUUAAGUUAUCCGUCCGUCGGGAGGUACGGUCGCGAGAAGUUAAACUAACAAUAGAAGUUAGUACGGACGUGAGACGUCGCCGACGGACGACGACGAGGGAGGAGG
rnacentral:rRNA from 1 species